AAAUGGUUGAUUUAAGUUUCAAUAAACAGAAUUUACUUACCGUAAAUUUUUUUUCUUAAUAUGGUGGCAGUACAUGUGGGAUAUAGCAAGAUCCCUAACCCAGGCGGGUCCAAUGUCACCCCAGGUCACAACCUUUACGCCCAAAGGCAGUUUCAGAGGAUGAGGAUAUCUCUAGCCUGUAGAGUUUAAUGAAAAAGUGGGAAGGCAGCCCCAAGACUGUGCCUCACAGAUGUCCACUGGCAGAAACAAGAGCUCUUACUUCCCCUGAGGCAGCCAAUAGCCCAAGUGUAAAGAGUCAUUCGAGCUUGGAAGUUACCAUUGUGUGGAGGCCAUCUUGAACGUACAGAAUCAGAACCUUGUAUGGCCAGAAUGGAAUAAGAACCAGUAUAAGACUCCGACAGCCCUAAUUUUCGAAGACAACUUUGAAAUAGCGUAAGACACAUGCCAGCCUGACAUUACAUUACAAUGAGAGUUAUU